CCUACGGGCGGCAGCAGUGGGGAAUAUUGGACAAUGGGGGGAACCCUGAUCCAGCCAUGCCGCGUGUGUGAAGAAGGCCCUCGGGUUGUAAAGCACUUUCAGUGAGGAAGAACGCCUGGUGGUUAAUACCCAUCAGGAAAGACAUCACUCACAGAAGAAGCACCGGCUAACUCCGUGCCAGCAGCCGCGGUAAUACGGAGGGUGCGAGCGUUAAUCGGAAUUACUGGGCGUAAAGCGCGCGUAGGUGGCUUGAUAAGCCGGUUGUGAAAGCCCCGGGCUCAACCUGGGAACGGCAUCCGGAACUGUCAAGCUAGAGUGCAGGAUAGGAAGGUAGAAUUCCCGGUGUAGCGGUGAAAUGCGUAGAGAUCGGGAGGAAUACCAGUGGCGAAGGCGGCCUUCUGGACUGACACUGACACUGAGGUGCGAAAGCGUGGGUAGCAAACAGGAUUAGAUACCCGUGUAGUC
rnacentral:rRNA from 1 species